rnacentral:lncRNA from 1 species
UCUCGACAGACAAUUGGACAGGCCAAAUCCAUUGAUAUGACAACUUAAACGUUUUUUCGAAGCUAGAAAUCAUCAUUUUUUUCAAUUUUUUUAGGGAUACUUUGUUUUCUGCUCUCUAGACUCCCACUCACGGCUCUAGUGCUCCACCCCUAGAAUAUAGACCUUACUGGGGUUUGGUGACACUUUGUGUUGCUUCAGUCACCUGCUCGCGGCUCACCCCCCUAAAAUUUCUGGCACCACCCCAGUAGAAAAUAUGAAAAUCCGUCUAUGGCUGGCGAUGCUCCUUAGUAUUUACUGUCUAUCAAAGCCAGACAAUUUAAUACUCAAUGGGUAGUGUAAUGCCAGUAAAUGGGUUAAUUCCGUGCCCCCCCCCCCCCCCCCCCAACGCCAUCCAAUUUAAAAUUUAACAAUUUUACUAUUCUCAAUUGUUUCUAUUUGUAAAUAUCUAUGCGAGUAUUACCCCCUUUAAAACGAAAAGCACCAUUGUAAUCCUGACAAAAUAACCUUUUCAACGGGAGGGGGUGUCAAAUAAUGCAGAUGAAAAUCUGAAGAUGAAAAUCUGAAGAUACAAGCUUGAUAAUAACACACUAAGUAGUGUUUUGGAUUCUGGUUCGAAUAAGGCUAUUACGAAAAAGAUAUGUCCAAAGGAGUCGAAGUUAUUUUUGGCGAAAUGUAUGGCUAGUUUACAUUGUUCCUUAUAUAAUGAAUUAUAAUACCAUACAUAAUACUUGUGUUAAAAUUAGCGUCAUGCUAUAAUGUUAUUGUACUAGGCAAAUGAGAACCACACAAUAAAUGUUUUAGUUCUUGUUGGUAUUUUGAACGCACGCUUUAAUGCCUUUGUCUUUACUACCACAAAGCUAUUCGCGCGGAUUAUAUUUCGCGUAGUACUAACAUUUUCACACCCAUCGCUGCGCGAAUUCUAGUACUGCGCGAAUUUUAAUACAUGAAAGGUAUAUUGUGGACAUUUGGUUAGGAUUUGGAGAUUUUGUUUCACUGAAUCGAAUGGUAAAAUACAGAAACUACAGAACCGAGCAGUAAGAGUCAUUACGAGGUCGCACUAUGAUGCAAGCGCUAGUUCUCUUUCGAAUAAUUUGCACCUAGACAAUCUUUG